GCGCUUGUUUGUGUGCUAAUGAGUCAUUUGCAAAUAUUGACGCGCGAAAGCCAGGCGUCCUUGCACAAGAGCACCACCGACCGUUCUUGAUAACACCCGCCGCGUGCAACGUUGCUCUUUUUGUUAAUAGUGCUGUGUGCCCUCCGCGUGUCAUUAUCACCUCAGAAGCUGUCCAUCCCAGGCGUCUGUGGCGUGAUGAAAAAAAUUAAAAUGGCCAAGAUGGAAGGAAGCGGGAGAUAAGCAGAAGCGCGCUUCCUUUCUGGCUGCACCAGGCUGGAAAAAAAGAGAGAGAUAUCGACAGGCGAGCCGGCGGCGAUUCGCUCGUGCAAUUUUCUUCUGCGACUAGGAAGCAAAAAAAGAGACGCGCGAGCGGCCCCGACAAAAUAAAGAAAAAAAAAACACACUCACGCGAGAGAGUGUGUUUUCGAGAGCACGUGUGCUGACGUGAUGCGCCGUCAGACUCUUUCAAGGUUGCGCGCGGUGCCCCUCAAAAUUGACGCCAAAUUAAUAGCAGACGAAACAACAGUGGGAGUGCAGAAAAAAAUUGCACAGCAUCUUCUCUCGCUGGAGAUGCUGUAAUUGCUGCACGGAAUGAGUCUGCAGCGCAUUGUUUGGAAAUGAGCGCCAGUGUGGGCCGCUGAGAUGAUGAGGUUUUGCUUUUUAAGGGGCCAUUAUUAUUUUGUUCGAAUCACUUAAGCAGCUGCGCGGUGCAAAAGAAUGAAAUUACCAAUUGUGAGCACCGCUCGAACGAGUCCGAAAUAAAGAGGCUUUCGCCGAAAUGCUGUGACUCGCCAGAAAAUAAAUUUUCGGUCGCCACUUUCGCUAAACGGAUAAUGCAUUUAACAUAAAAAAGUAAUGAAAUUGGUUUCCGGCCAUUUAACCAGAUGAAAGCGCAAAUCAUGUGAUUGAGAAAUAUUGUGACAUAGCAUCAAAUAUAUGAUUACUUUCAAUUUUUAACAUAAUGACACGUGUAAAAACUAUAAAUAUAAAUAAUUACUUCAUUAGAGAAAUCUGAAUGAAGUCUUAAAGAUU